UACGUAGGGUGCAAGCGUUGUCCGGAAUUAUUGGGCGUAAAGGGCUCGUAGGCGGUCCAUCGCGUCGGGAGUGAAAAGCUGGGGCUUAACCCCAGUCCUGCUUCCGAUACGGGUGGGCUAGAGGUAGGUAGGGGAGAACGGAAUUCCUGGUGUAGCGGUGAAAUGCGCAGAUAUCGGGAGGAACACCAGUAGCGAAGGCGGCACUCUGGGCCGGUACUGACGCUGAGGAGCGAAAGCGUGGAGAGCAAACAGG
rnacentral:rRNA from 1 species